rnacentral:rRNA from 1 species
UUUACGGGAGGCAGCAGUGGGGAAUAUUGGACAAUGGGCGAAAGCCUGAUCCAGCCAUGCCGCGUGUGUGAAGAAGGUCUUCGGAUUGUAAAGCACUUUAAGUUGGGAGGAAGGGCAGUUGCCUAAUACGUGAUUGUUUUGACGUUACCGACAGAAUAAGCACCGGUUAACUCUGUGCCAGCAGCCGCGGUAAU